UACGUAGGGGGCAAGCGUUGUCCGGAUUUAUUGGGCGUAAAGAGCGUGUAGGCGGUUUGGUAGGUCCGUUGUGAAAACUCGAGGCUCAACCUCGAGACGCCGGCGGAAACCAUCAGGCUAGAGUCCGGAAGAGGAGAGUGGAAUUCCUGGUGUAGCGGUGAAAUGCGCAGAUAUCAGGAAGAACACCCGUGGCGAAGGCGGCUCUCUAGUACGGUACUGACGCUGAGACGCGAAAGCGUGGGGAGCGAACAGG
rnacentral:rRNA from 1 species